rnacentral:rRNA from 1 species
GGUUAAGUGACUAAGCGUACACGGUGGAUGCCUUGGCAGUCAGAGGCGAUGAAAGACGUAGUAACUUGCGAUAAGCCCAGAUUAGGUAGUAACAACCAUUUGAGUCUGGGAUUUCUGAAUGGGGAAACCCACGUGCAUAAGCACGUAUCCUUACCUGAAUACAUAGGGUAAGGAGGCGAACCGGGGGAACUGAAACAUCUAAGUACCCCGAGGAAAAGAAAUCAACCGAGAUUCCGAAAGUAGCGGCGAGCGAAAUUGGACUAGCCCUUAAGCUUUACACGCGUUAGACGAACGGUCUGGAAAGUCCGACGAUACAGGGUGAUAGUCCCGUAGUUGACGACGUGUGUUCAGUGAAAUCGAGUAGGGCGGGACACGUGAUAUCCUGUCUGAAUAUGGGGGGACCAUCCUCCAAGGCUAAAUACUACUGACUGACCGAUAGUGAACCAGUACCGUGAGGGAAAGGCGAAAAGAACCCCUGUGAGGGGAGUGAAAUAGAACCUGAAACCGUGUACGUACAAGCAGUAGGAGCAGGCUUUGUCCUGUGACUGCGUACCUUUUGUAUAAUGGGUCAGCGACUUAUAUUCAGUGGCAAGGUUAACCAUCUAGGGGAGCCGUAGGGAAACCGAGUCUUAACUGGGCGUUCAGUCUCUGGAUAUAGACCCGAAACCAGGUGAUCUAGCCAUGGGCAGGUUGAAGGUUGAGUAACAUCAACUGGAGGACCGAACCGACUAAUGUUGAAAAAUUAGCGGAUGACUUGUGGCUAGGGGUGAAAGGCCAAUCAAACCUGGAGAUAGCUGGUUCUCCCCGAAAGCUAUUUAGGUAGCGCCUCGGACGAAUACUACUGGGGGUAGAGCACUGUUAAGGCUAGGGGGUCAUCCCGACUUACCAACCCUUUGCAAACUCCGAAUACCAGUAAGUACUAUCCGGGAGACACACGGCGGGUGCUAACGUCCGUCGUGGAGAGGGAAACAACCCAGACCGCCAGCUAAGGUCCCAAAUUACUACUAAGUGGGAAACGAUGUGGGAAGGCUCAGACAGCCAGGAUGUUGGCUUAGAAGCAGCCAUCAUUUAAAGAAAGCGUAAUAGCUCACUGGUCGAGUCGGCCUGCGCGGAAGAUGUAACGGGGCUAAGUAGUAAACCGAAGCUGCGGCAAUAUACUUUUGUAUAUUGGGUAGGGGAGCGUUCUGUAAGCGGUUGAAGGUGUGUGGUAACGCAUGCUGGACGUAUCAGAAGUGCGAAUGCUGACAUGAGUAACGAUAAAGGGGGUGAAAAACCUCCUCGCCGGAAGACCAAGGGUUCCUGUCCAACGUUAAUCGGGGCAGGGUAAGUCGACCCCUAAGGCGAGGCCGAAAGGCGUAGUCGAUGGGAAACGGGUUAAUAUUCCCGUACUUCUUACAAUUGCGAUGGGGGGACGGAGAAGGCUAGGUGGGCCUGGCGACGGUUGUCCAGGUUCAAGUGCGUAGGCUUGAGAGUUAGGUAAAUCCGGCUCUCUCUAAGGCUGAGACACGACGUCGAGCAUCUACGGAUGUGAAGUCAUUGAUGCCAUGCUUCCAGGAAAAGCCUCUAAGCUUCAGAUUGUAAGGAAUCGUACCCCAAACCGACACAGGUGGUCGGGUAGAGAAUACCAAGGCGCUUGAGAGAACUCGGGUGAAGGAACUAGGCAAAAUGGUACCGUAACUUCGGGAGAAGGUACGCUCUCGACGGUGAAGUCCCUCGCGGAUGGAGCUAUUGAGAGUCGCAGAUACCAGGUGGCUGCAACUGUUUAUUAAAAACACAGCACUGUGCAAAAUCGUAAGAUGACGUAUACGGUGUGACGCCUGCCCGGUGCCGGAAGGUUAAUUGAUGGGGUUAGACUUCGGUCGAAGCUCUUGAUCGAAGCCCCGGUAAACGGCGGCCGUAACUAUAACGGUCCUAAGGUAGCGAAAUUCCUUGUCGGGUAAGUUCCGACCUGCACGAAUGGCGUAAUGAUGGCCACGCUGUCUCCACCCGAGACUCAGUGAAAUUGAAAUCGCUGUGAAGAUGCAGUGUACCCGCGGCUAGACGGAAAGACCCCGUGAACCUUUACUACAGCUUGGCACUGAACAUUGACCCUACAUGUGUAGGAUAGGUGGGAGGCUUUGAAGCACGUACGCCAGUAUGUGUGGAGCCGUCCUUGAAAUACCACCCUUGUAGUGUUGAUGUUCUAACGUCGACCCCUUAUCGGGGUUGCGGACAGUGCCUGGUGGGUAGUUUGACUGGGGCGGUCUCCUCCCAAAGAGUAACGGAGGAGCACGAAGGUGGGCUAAUCACGGUUGGACAUCGUGAGGUUAGUGCAAUGGCAUAAGCCCGCUUGACUGCGAGAAUGACAAUUCGAGCAGGUGCGAAAGCAGGUCAUAGUGAUCCGGUGGUUCUGAAUGGAAGGGCCAUCGCUCAACGGAUAAAAGGUACUCCGGGGAUAACAGGCUGAUACCGCCCAAGAGUUCAUAUCGACGGCGGUGUUUGGCACCUCGAUGUCGGCUCAUCACAUCCUGGGGCUGAAGUCGGUCCCAAGGGUAUGGCUGUUCGCCAUUUAAAGUGGUACGCGAGCUGGGUUUAGAACGUCGUGAGACAGUUCGGUCCCUAUCUGCCGUGGGCGUUGGAAGAUUGAAGGGGGCUGCUCCUAGUACGAGAGGACCGGAGUGGACGAACCUCUGGUGUUCGGGUUGUGUCGCCAGACGCAUUGCCCGGUAGCUAAGUUCGGAAUCGAUAACCGCUGAAAGCAUCUAAGCGGGAAGCGAGCCCUGAGAUGAGUCUUCCCUGAUACUUUAAGUAUCCUAAAGGGUUGUCGGAGACUACGACGUUGAUAGGUCAGGUGUGUAAGUGCUGUGAGGCAUUGAGCUAACUGAUACUAAUUGCCCGUGAGGCUUAACCAU